CUACUUCAUCCUGAAAUCUAACAUAGAAACACUUGUCAAAAGGAGCAGUUUUGUAAAACCUUAACAAGGACUACAGAGAAAGAAAGUACAUCACUAGAUUUAGUUUUUAUCCAUUGUUAUGGUCAUAAAUAGCAGCAAAAUUGAAUUUCUAAGGCACCAGGAGAAUGAGGAGAAGCUUGUGGCUGACUUGAAUCCCUCAGAUGAUUUUGUUUUAUGAAGGAUGGGAUGAAAAUGUCAGAGUACACGGAAAACAUCUUAGUUCUUCCCAUCUCCAGUGGGAUCAUUCAAAUCCUGCCCCAGGUCCUGUUGAGCUAGUGCUGAUGCCCCAGGAAGAGGAGCAAAGAAGCAACAUGCUAUCAGCCUUGGGAAACAAAGAAAUACAAGAUUGCUCGAAAUCUUCAAUCUCUGAUAUUGUAUUAAUGAAGGCUCAUUCCCAAGUGCCGGAAAAGCCUUCCACGAUUCAAGAUGAAUUGCAAGAAUGUGUUGUUUGGGGCAAUUAUGAAGACAGAGAGGAAAUGUUAUGCAAACUCCUAGGUUUCAGCUGUUUCCAAGGCCAGGCCUGACUAGCC
rnacentral:lncRNA from 1 species